rfam:Sodalis glossinidius str. 'morsitans' DNA, complete genome.
GCCUCGUGCCUGAAAGGGCAACAGUUAAAGCUGGAGUGAGAAAUCAGCAGAUGUCGUAGUAGCCGCAGUAGCGGGGCCGAUGAGUCCGUAAGUCAAACGGCGAAGGAC